GUGAGAACUGCCAAACCUUUUACAUUCACAAGGUGUGAAACGGAAGAGAAAUGGCUUUUGACAAAAGGAUCACUCUAGAGACUGUUAAUCAUAGCAGCUACAGAUACCAGCAGUGGAAAAAGUGGAGGAGCAGAAAGGGAGCUCAACACAGGAAAGAAGACAACUCAAGAAGGAAAAGCAUUACAUUGCUUUGUAGGAACAUCAAAAAGGAAGCUGAAAAAUCUGGAGGAAGCUGGAGGAUGUUACACUGAGGAAGAAGAGACCAUGCAGAAAAGCAAAUUCUUUCUGAGCUCUCUCUGCUAAAUGCUUCAACUGAGAAGAUAGAGCAGGCUGACGUGAAUGAAGAUGGGUAAUUUUAAGGUGAGCAUUGCAGACAGAAGUAAAUGGUGAAGAUAUAACAGUUUUCUCCAUUUGGAGAAACUGUUGUUCUCAGUGAGAGCCAUCACAAUACAUGGACUUUUAAGAGAGGAUGAUAAGGCUUAUAUUUCUGGUUUUUUUAUUCUGUAAAUAUUCUUUCUAGUAAUAGACUUCUUGUGAGGACUGGAAAAGCCUCUCUGGUCAGCGUGAAGCUUGCUUUCGGCAUGAGAAAACAAUGGGAUUAUGGAAAGGAGGAAAUUAUUCUUCAGAACUGAAAGACAUUUGAAAUAGAAGAAUUUUCCAUAUGUCAUGUGCACCAGCACAAUCAGUGGAUGUAUUACUCAUAGACAGCCCUUGCAUGCAGGUAUGCCAAGAGGGAUCCCAGCUUGCAAUUCAGCAGAUGCCAUCCACAGGAAACAGACAUACUGUGACUGUCUCAUGUUGUGGCUGGGCAUGCAAGCAAGCAACUCUUCCUUGUAGAUUUUCCAAGGGCAAAAUGACUAACACUGCAUUAUAAUUGUGUUUAUAACAUUUUAAUGACAUCAUAAAAAUUCUUGCUCAGCUCAAAGAAACACCUUAUGAUGAGCAGGAAGCAGAAUUUUAAGUAAAAAUAAUUAACCUUGUUAUUUGGUAUAAAUAUAGCUUUGACAGUAUUAUACAUGUUCUAGUUGCCAAAGAUUUUAUUAAGUUGUAACUAUCGUAGAAUUCCCAGAUAUCAUCAGGCUUUCAUCUUGGUUCACAUUGUGGAAAUCCAAAAAGAUCUUGUCCCAGCUUCAUGAGUCUAUGUUAAAUGCUUUAAGUUUAUAUGAAAAAGAACUGUACAGUCACCCUAACCCCCCACCAUUUCUUGUCUCAGGCAUUAACAUUUCACUGAUAAUACUCGUUUCAUAAAUUUUGACAUUGCUGUUAAAUUAUUCAUAUGGUGUUAUAUGAAAACACAUGACAAUUUUUAAAAAAUGUAUUCGUCAAGCAUCUUGCAAUCGGCUAAGAUGCUGCUCUGCUGGUUAUUUUUCUGAAUCUUGCC
rnacentral:lncRNA from 1 species